UAGGGAAUAUUGCAAAAUGGGCGAAAGCCCGAUGCAGCAACGCCGCGUGGGCGAUGAAGGCCUUCGGGUCGUAAAGCCCUUUUUGAGGGGAUGAGGAAGGACAGUACCCUCAGAAUAAGCCUCGGCUAACUACGUGCCAGCAGCCGCGGUAAAACGUAGGAGGCGAGCGUUAUCCGGAUUUACUGGGCGUAAAGCGCGUGCAGGCGGAUUGGAGAGUUGGAUGUGAAAGCUCCCGGCUUAACUGGGAGAGGUCGUUCAAUACUUCCAGUCUUGAGUGCAGUAGAGGGAAGUGGAAUUCCGGGUGUAGUGGUGAAAUGCGUAGAUAUCCGGAGGAACACCAGUGGCGACAGCGGCUUCCUGGACUGUAACUGACGCUCAGACGCGAAAGCUAGGGUAGCAAACG
rnacentral:rRNA from 1 species